AUUUUCUAAAAAAUGCAACAGGCAACAAUGUUUUUUCUUGAAGUCUGAGUGUAUGAGACCUCUACAGGCAAGGAGGUGCACAUCAAGAAUAGACUUUGAAACUUUUUAACUUCUGUGAAGAACAUACUUCAGAUGUACUUCUCAACUCGAAAAUCGAUACUAAAAAUCCAUGCUGAAAGACUUAAGACCAACAAAUUGGAAACAAUUAUAAGGGCAGAGGAGCUCCCUUGUAGAACAAACACAUAAAAUUAUUGGAUUAUUAUUUGAUUUUUGUGGUAUGCUGAUUAUAUGAUUCUGUAAUUUCUGAGAUUGCAUUCAAAUUAAGUGGGUAAGAUACUUAAGGUAACUAAUAAUAUAUAUAUAUAUAUAUUUUAAUGUUAUUAAAACGUAUCUAUAAUUUAACCUAAUUUCAUUCUUUCCUGUAAUAUACUUUUGAAAAACAAAGGCUUCUGUUCAUCAAACUUUGUUCACUUCAAAGUAGGAAGUGAACAACAUUUCUAUGAUAUUUUUUACUUACCUCUUCUAGCUCAUCUUCAAUGUGUCCCAUGGGAAGGGCAGCACUAAAGGAGUUUUAUAUGUUUAAAAGAUUCAUUUUCCCUUUCACACAGCAUAUUUCAGCAUCUUUAGUCAGUUAUGCUCUUUGAGUAGAAAAUGAAGCUUUUAAACAUGAGAAUAACUGUGAAGACUUAAACCACCUAAAGAAUUGUAGAGAAGCCCUUCAGGUACUCUGAAUGUUUAAUAUCUUUGUAUUCAUAUCAAACAGUAGAUAUGGUGGUCUGCUUUCAGGUGUCAUUUACCAAAAGUCGUCCCAUUUAUGUUUCUGAAGAAAUUUAAGGCAAUGACCGAUGUUGUAUACUGGCUUUUUAAACUCUACCCAGCAUAUGUUCAUAAGUGUGUGUGUAAAGCACGUCAUUCUCCAGAAUACAUGCCAGCGACAGUUAAACCUUCAAUUUAAACAACAUAAGGUUUGAACAGCAAGGAUUCAUCCUGGCUAAAAGCCAGAUCAAAAUGUACCCUUUAUAUUUUUUAUAAUUUUGUGGCCUAAUCUCACUAUGGCAAAAGGUUCACGAAAUAACCACUAAAAGAUAAUGACAUGAUUUUUUUUUUCCUAUAUAUAAGUAAAACAAAAGACUUAAAUGAAACUGUCCUUGAAAGAAAAACUAUAGUGAUGCUUACAAUUAUUAAAGAAUGGAGUUACCAACUUGAAGGAAAGAUGAUAGCAAAAGGUGCUGCAGAUCCUUUUAGCAUCUUACAGCAGUAAGCUAAAUGACAUAUACGGAGAGAGCUUCCAGUCUCAUUCACAGGGCAGAUGCUCCUCACCUUGGUGUACAAAUAAACUACCUGUACUCAGUUUUGAAGAUUUAGUGUGCUGUAGGCUAUGUAUCCCUUUGUUAUAUAUAAGAGGAAUAUAGUUUUUUUGUUGUUGUUGUUUUGUUUGUUUUUUUUUUUAAAAAAGGUAUUGCAAUCAAGUAUGAAAUGGGUAUUAUGUUUAUUAUGUUUUAAGAUCAUGUGGUAUUAGCAGCUUGCUUUCUACAUAUAGAAGAUAUUCACAAGUAUUUAGUGCCCUGAACUUGUCUCUGGUUUGCUCUCAAACUGCCCAAAUAUAUUUAAUAUAUGUUUUUGUGCAAGUUUCUGUACCUGCAUGUUCAUUAGAUGGUUGUCUUCUGAUGAUUUUCUCUGGUUAGUGAUAAAUUUAGCACAUGCUAUGAGCCCAGAGAUUUUUAAUGUCUAAUGUUUAGGAAUUCUGAAGGCUUUGAGACAACCAUUGAUGGCCUGUAACAUAGAUGUUGGAUUUUUACUCUUGUUUAUAUUGGAGAGUCAGGCUAUUAAGUGACUUCUGUUUCACCUGCUAUUUGAGCUGUUUGGGUUUCCUCCUAGCAUAAAGGUCCUAAUUUUGUAGAUGUGUUUGUAAUUUGCUUAUAUUCUCUGGAAUUCAAACUGAAGUCUUUAUGAAAGAGAAAUAAAGACUUAGAUAUGCAAUUGCAGAAGCCCAUUUAUUCUGUAAUUGCUUGAGUUUCGACUGUUGGUUGCAUUACAGGAUGAAAUAAUAUGGAUAAGCCAUAUGAAUCAAUACAAAAUGAGUCUGAAAAGCUGCUAUUCAUACCUGUUAUCUGACUGCUUUUUAGUCGUACUGUUAGCAGGGUUCAGCUCUCUUUUAAGGCAGUCAGUCACCGUUUUAAUUACGUCAAGCGAUUGUUCAGCCAUAUGUACUCGUUCUCUCUGAAUUAUUUAUUGUUGAGAAUAUUCACAGGUGUUUGAUUUAUUCAAAUUAUUUGAAUAAAUCACACAGUAGUCCUGUCAUCUUAAUAGGAUUUUUAUGGACAAAACCGAUAAAUCUAUGCUGACGCUUGUUGUGACUAGAAAUUAUUUCUGUGGCUUCCAGAUGAGAAACCUCUUCACUAAAACUUUGUUCCACUUAACAUAUACAGUUACAUUUAACAUAUGCUAUCAUCUGUUUAACAAUUACAGUAACAACAACAUAAAGGCUAACCAAAAUAUGACUGUGCUAACCAGAGAAAUUUCAGUUCAGUAUUAGACUGUGCCUUUUAGGCAGCUUAAAACAAACAACUUCUUUCUUCAACUGACUUCUGCUGAUUUAACAAUAUCAGACUGAUGAGAUUCAGAGUGAUUCACCAUUUCCUCUGGCUUCAUGCCUAAAUCUAGUCAGUCAAGACUAAGACUUCUAAGUGUAGAAUAUUAUGCCAGAUGUUGACUAAGCUUAUGUUGUGAGGCUAGAAGUCAUUAGAGAUUUCAUAUCUCCAGUUAAUGUAGCCAAGUUCUAUUUUCUUUUGAAGAGAAACAUGAAAUAAAGGCAGACUUUUUUUUUCCCCUCUGCAUUUGCCUCCAUUUACUGAGAGGACCUAUUAUUUACAGUUGAAGAUAUCUAUGUUAUUAAUGUGGUUUUCUAAACUAAUAAUACAUAAACAAGUUAAUUGAUUGCACAAUGUUUAUAAGUUGCAUACUUGUGUUGGCUUCUUUCCCCCCAUUUUCCUUACAGUUUUUCAAAAAUAGUGCUAGAAAUUUCUCUUAUCAUGCAAACAUGUUUGUAGCAGCGUAUCCUCUGCUGUAACAGCUUAACCAAACUUGCCAGAUAGAGAAACAGAGAUGAGUAUGUGUUUUGUUUAUGUUUUUCCCUCUGAUUUUUAUCCUGGAGAAAAAUGGCUUCAAUUUGGCUUCAGGCAGCUCUAACUUAUCUGACCCCAUACUUACUCAGCAGAUUGUUCAAGGUCUCACUGCCCUUGGCAUCAAAUCAGCAAUCCCUUUUACAUGGAUUAACUCUUCUGGGAAACUUAUCUAGCACGUGAGGUAUCUAGCAUAUGCUGUGCUUCAGAAGGAGACAUGCAUACAUCUUUCUACCUAAUUGUUUCUUCAGUAAAUUUAUGUCUAUUGUGGCUACUGAAUGGAAAAUGGAAGCUUUCAGGGAAUGUUUGAGUUUACUUGCAUACUUGCUCACGUUACUGAUGGAAUAACUGAUCAUACAUUCUGUUUCUCUUGACUUUCUCUCAAAUUUCUCUUUCUAAACUUUACUAUUCAAAAGUCUAGAAAUGAUCACUAGUAGUGUGCAGUAUUCCUUCAGUCAGUGCGUUGGCAUCAGGAUACUGAGUUUUAUUGUUUGCAACUUUGCUAGUGUAGAAGUAACCUGAAGUGUUUUUGUAGAUAGCUUAAAAGACUGAUUUAGAUAAAACACAAACGCACAUCUUAAGUGGUCAGAAACAUAUUGGAGAGGAAUUUUUCUAUUACAUGAAUACAAAACAAUGUAAGAUGUCCAUUGUUUUCACUCUUCCCACUUGUCAGAGCAAGAUACAAAGUUUUUUUUCUGCUUUUAUUUUCCUUAAAUAUAUUUUGUUUCAAAGCGUGGUGAAACUUUACUAUCCAUUUUAUGCACCAUGUAUAGGGAUCAGACUUAAUUUUCACUUCCUAGAAGAGAGAAAAAUUACAUACUAAUUCUUUCUUAAAUACACAAAAUAGAUAGCAAUGUAAGGACUUUAUACUUAAGGAUGAAGAUAGACAUUUUAAUCUGCAAUGAUCAAAACUCUUUCACUACUUAUAAUAAGACAAAGAAUUUUCCAAAAUGCUAUCGAAAUACCAUUGUUCAGCUUCGUAAUUUAUUUAGGGCUGUUAAAAGUAGGCAACAACUUCUCAUCUGUAAACAAAAUUCUCAGACUUGGUUAAACUCUAUGCCAAAGCUCCACAAGAUAAAAAGGAAUUAUGGUGUAGAAUUUAGAACUCUUUAAUUUAUCCCUGAGACCAUUCCAUAGAUGUCACUAAAACUUAUUCUUAAGAUUCUUUGUAUCUUACAGUUACGGCAAGCAGAACACAUUGUUUUCUCAAGUUACAAAGUUGGAAUGAAAAAACUGUUCUGUAUUAAUACAAGCUUUUGGAAAUCUUUAUUCAGUAACUGACUAUCCUGAGUUCUGCUUCAAUACCAAAACAAAACAAUACCUCAGAAAUUGAGGAUCUUGGGAGGGCAACAGAGUUUUCAGGAAAAGAAGGAAGUUUCAACCCUAAAAUAAUAAUUAAUUUCUGCAGCAGUAGUGGGCUACCUUUUCACUUUACAAAGCUUUUAGUUUGAAAAUAGUUCAACUAUAUUUUGAAGUAAUUACUUAUCUCAUAGUAGCUUACCUACUUUAAACCUAACAUACUGCCCCAGUGAACGUUAAACGUUCUCUUAAUUUUAGGAAAAAAAAAAAAAAGAUUUAAUUACUUCUUACUUUGAUUUUAUUUGGAAGCUAAGCAAAGAUGAAUCCUUACUUUGCACCUCAUUGUGUUUAUUCAUAUAUAUAUAUAUAUAUAUAUAUAUAUAUAAGUAUAUAUAUGUGCCUGUUGACUGUAGAGGACUAAAAAAUAUGAUUUUCUCCUUUAGAUAGAUGCUAGAUAACCAGUACUGAGUGUUAUUGUUUCUUUUUAAAGUCCUGGUUUCUUCUAAACAUCUGCAUUAUACAUCUGUAUAUUUAGAUAAUACAUCUACAAAAUAGCAUGAAAAUUUCAGACCUCUUUGGCUGUCAUUGGUUUGUCCAUAGAAUCAUUUCAGCUCAGAAGAAAGUUUGUUGAAUCCAGCCUGAUACUCAAAGCAGGAUCAACCCUGAAUUUAGACUGAGUCCUUACCAAGGCUGUAUUCAGUUGGAUCUUGGAAACCUCCAUGGACAGAGAUUCCAGAACCUAAUAAUAUGAACUGGCUCUCCUGUUUGGUAUCUUUACAGUUAUGUUCCUUUUCCCUUAUGUCCAGUCAGAUCUUCCUUCUUUCAAUAUAUAAGCAUAAUCUCUUGUUCUCCUACUACAUUUUAAGUAAUGAGCCUGGCACUUUCUCUUAAGGUUUGUUCCAGCAGGCUUACUUAUGUUUUGAGUAGAAACACUUUAAUUCACUUAACUGUUUAUUAUUUGCAAGUGAAGGUUUCAUCCUGAAGUUCAGGAGGGAAAAGAGUUUCAUUAUGAAUUAUAGCUUCCUUAUCUUUUUAUCUCAAAUAACUUGCUGAUUUUUUGGUAAUGUGGAUUGAAGCUCACUCAGAUGGGAGGCUUUUUCUUGUCUAUUCCUAGCUUCUUCUGAAUUGUUAAAGUAUCAUCUGUAGCAUAUUAAGCAGCAGGUGGUCAAUAGGCUAUGCACUGAAACACAUCAUCAUGUUGCUGCAGUGCAGAUUAUUCUUGGUCAUCAGAGAGAACAUAGAUAUCAGAGUUGGUUAUCAAAAGCCCCCACACAGUUAAUGAACCAUGUUUCAAUUUUCACGGCCUUUACUGCAUUGAUACCAGCUAAGGGAUGCAGCAAAUUACUGUCAGGUUGUUUUGCCAGAACUGUUCCCUUUUCAAUAUAGCCCAUGUUGGUUUUCCAGUAUGGUCAGGAGGUUAUUUGCUAUAUGAAAUGUCCUCAUUUUAUCAGAAUCCAUUUUUUUUUUCCUAUGUUGAUUUUUAUUGGUAACCCUUCAUAUUCUUAUAUAAAUGUGAUAUAUCAGUAUGAAUGGAGUAGUGACCAUCUCCCAGGUCAUGUAAUAUAUGAUUAAACCAAAUCAAUUUUUUUAAAGCUCUGGGUGUUAUCUUUAUUUUCCUAUUAAGGCCAUUAAAUUAUAUAUUUUUUCAAAUUGACUAUUAUUUUUUUCUAAACAGGUAUCAGCAGUCACUUCACUGGAAGUCAGUUCUUGGAAGUCUUUUUCUGAUGAACACUUUCAGUACAUAUGCAUCAUAAGACAGGCCUUUCAAGAGGAUUCAGGAUUGACCCAAGCCCAAUCCUGUUAGGAUCACUGAAUUACACUUUUUCUGUGAUGGAAGGUUGUGUGAUUAUAAAAAAAAAAAAAUAAAAAAUUCCUGUUUAGUCUUUUCAAUGAGCUGACAAUUAAGAGGCUUGAAAUUAGGUAAGGCAGAUGCAAAGUAACUUGUUAUAACUAAAUUUAAAAAAAAAAAAAAAAAGCUAGUUGUUUAUCUCCUUUCUUUAAGUACUCAUCUGUCAUUUACCUGUCAGUGAUAACCUCAAAACAACUUAGCUGAAUCUAAUCUUCCAAGCAUUUACACUCUUAUUGGUGGAUAUAUACAACAGUAUUUAAUUGCUGCUACCUUUCUACAUCCUUAAGCUCUGGUGCUAGAUAAAAUCCCAGAACUGUGAACAAGGAUUCUCAGAAUAGGUAUUUUCCUUCCUUUUUUUUCCUUCUCCUGAUUUCUUUGGCUUGCUCUAAGGUCUUCUAAGCUAUCUCUAUGGGUUUCUUUUAUGCCAGUGUAGAUCAGGAAUGAAAGAAUUUAGCCGUACAGGCAAACAGGGAUUCAAGUCUUUCUAGUUUUAGCAGAUCCUUGAAAUUCAUACUCCCACAACCCACAGGAGUGCCUUAACCACCAAGCAUUAUCCAAUGACUGUCUUGUGUAAAAUGAAUAAAGAACUGCUGGGCUGGGAUACAAGAUUCUCUGUCUGACUGUUACAAUCACAGGAAGGAGUCUUGAAUUGUUUUUUUUGUUCCCAGGACUGGAUCGGUAAUAUGUGCUCAGUAAUAGAAGAAAUGCACAGAAUAUCCAGAGAACAAGCAUUCUACUUUCAUAGCUGUGUCUGGCAGUAGGAUACAGAUUUAUGCUUUCUCAGGCUUGUAUUUUUUCUUUGACCCCUGUGUGUUUGUAUUCUUUCUGCAAUACGAAGAAGCCGGUGUUGAAUCCUUAACAUUCAUGUCAUGGUUUUGGCUGGGACAGAGUUAAUUUUAUUUGUAGAGGCUCAUGCAAUAUGUUUUGGAUUUUUGAUUAAAAUAGUGGUGAUAACACUGGUGUUUUACUUGCUGCAGAGCAGUGCUUGCACAGAACCGAGGACUUUUCUGCUUCUGGUGCUUCCCUAGGGGUGCACCAGGAGCUGGGAGGGGACACAGCCAAGACAACUGACCCAGGCUGAGCAAAAGGAUGUCCCACACCAUAUGGCAUCAUGCUCAGCAAUAACAGCUGGGGUAAGGAAGGGCGUUUGGAGUGAUGGUGUUUGUCUUCCCAAGAAGCUGUUAUGUGUGUGAUGAGCCCUGCUUUGCUGGAAGUGUGUGAACACCUGCCUGCCAAUGGGAAGUGGCAAAUGAAUUCUUUGUUUUGCUUUGCUUGUGCUUUACCUAGGAAACUGUCUUCAUCUCAACCCGUGAGUUAACACACUUUUACCUUUCUGAUUCCCCCAUCUCACCUGUUGCUGGGAUGAAACUCUUAAUGGCAUUACGCUUCUCUGAAAGAAGUGAAAUGAUAAUUAUUAGUGCAUCAGGCUUUUACUGUCUUACAGAGUCAACAGAUUUUCUUUCUUCUAUUUCCUUUAAUAUAUUAAUACUAGAAUUCCUAUACAUAGAAGAAAAUACUUAUUUCUUUUACAUGAUGAAUGAUUUAUGAGAUCUCUAGCUUUGCACCGUAAAAAUAUGGGCUUUUUGCCCUAUAGCAUAGUUUGAAAUCCAAGUAGAUGCCUAAUUUUCUUUUAAAGAUCAACAGAAUGAGGCAUAUUUUUAUUUGCUGAUAUUCUCAGGUGCAAAGGAAACAUCUUUCCUUCUUGUUUGUUGAGUAAGAUCUGUAUAGAAAUAGUUAAAUGUCGUGUUUGGGAUAAGAAUUAAAAAACAAAAGUUUAUCUGAGAGGAAAAAGGAAAGGGAAAAGGAAAGUAAGCAGUCAUCUUGGGUUGACAUGGUUCUACAAUGAAGAGAGGGCAAUAUUCCUUGGACCAUCCUUCAGUUUUAUUUUGUAUCUGUUAUUUUCAUUUUAAUUUCCUACAGUGACGCAUGGCUUUUAUGUAAAAGUAUGUGUUAAUUUUUUAUAUUUUUUCUAAUAGUAACAUAUAACAAUGUAAUUUCCCAAUUCGACAUUGGGUUUCUUAUCUUAUGGAUGUGUCAGAUGUUCAGCUUCUCAUCAGGCUUAGCAAUAUUACUUUUCUGCAGUUAAAUUAAUCUUUUAGCUCCCCCACACUUCUCCCCUCUCUCCCCCCCCAUCCCCCAGGCUCACAGAACAUGUUGUUAAUGAAAGUACCAGCUGACCUGAGUACAAUUUUGGUAACUGAAGUGUCCCUAAUAUAAGUGAAAACUUGUGUUUAAUGGAUAUAGUUCUGCAUAAAAUUAAAGAAUUCCCUCUUUUAAGAUUAUACUCCCAAUUUAUUUUCUAAAUAAGAGAGAGUUGUGGAAAUGGAGUCAACUUUAACCUUCUAAGUGGUAGAAACUGGCCAAACAAAUUAUGAGUAUACAUUCUGAAAUUAUUUAAGUUGACUACACUUUUAAAUUAAAAUGGAAAAAAAAUUAAAAAUGCUUAAAUAUACUCUGAAGCAUAAUUUACUGACUUCAAAUGAAGCAGAGUAAGCACCUGUAAAUAGUAAACUACUACUUUAGAUGGUUGAGCAUUGAGUUAGAUACGUAACUUUGGGGUGGGAGUGAAGAAAAAAAAUCUUAUUUUUUUCCUUGAUAUUAAACAAAAUAAAUCUGCUAAUCAGAAUAGCAAAAGUUUAAACAACCACUGCCCCCCGCCAAAAAAACAAACCACUCAAGCUAGUAUUCACCUGCUAACCAUGGCCACCUGUUCUAGCACACUGCAAAAGCUUGGUCCCUAUAAGUUUCUCUUUAUUAAUCAUGCUGCAUUAUCUGGCCAUCUGCUACAUCUCCCAGAAGAGCAGCAUUCCUUUGGUGCUGCCUGCUGUUUUAUAACAGUCUUUCAUCCUCAAAAGAAAAGUGAAGGAAUAGGUGGAAAUUCCAGUAAUCAGUUACUUCAGGAAGAUUAGCCAAUAUGACUAAAAGAUGCCAUGUGAGUGAUUUGAGAACGUUUUUAUUUUUUUCCCUGUGGCUUUAUGGUCAAUGCUUUCAAACUAUUUAUCUUAGCAGAAAGACUGCCUUCAGUUUAUACUCAGUAACAGAGAAGAAGAAAAAUUUCACAGAAAAUGAUGCACUGUGUAUACUUCCCCUUUCUUGUGCAUCUGUUUCCAAGAAGUCUACGUAAUGGGUAAACUGCUGGGAUGCAUUGGUAUUUCUAGAUGAGCAUCACCUACUUUUUCAGGUCUGCUGUGUUCUGUGCUGUCUGGAUAUCAGUAAAAUGGUAGGUGUAGAUGGCUUGCAAUUUCUCUUUGACAAUUUUUUUCCCCUUGUGGAACUCAGUGCACUUGAAUACCUCUAGGAUCAAACAAGCUGAGUGUACAAGCAACAGUCCAUUUUGAUUGCAUCUUCAAUGCAAUCCCACAGACUUCUGUAAAAGUAAAGUGUAAGAGAAUUUGAUUCUUUAUUUCCAGGCUCUAUUAUAAGUUUGUCUAACUCACAAAUAAAGUAGACAUAGUCAACAUACUAACUAACUAUUUCUAACUAUUUUCUAACUAUUGCACAUGUGUUACUUCACUGGCAUUUUUUUAUAUUGGAAAAAAAGAUAUUAAAUAAUGGACAUGAGUGUAUGAAACAUUAGGUUGCGUUAUGCAUUUUAUUUGUCUAAUGCAGCUUUCUUCACAGCUUAGCCAGGGUUAAAUAACUGGGUUGUAAUAUGUGCAGGAAAAGAAUCCUUCAUGGCAUUCAUACAGCUGUGCUGUAGUUUCAACAGACAGUAGUUUGUACUUGCCAGCUGGAUAGCUAGCAGACAGAUUUUGGGGGCAGACCACCCAGUGUGGUUAAGUAGAUAGAGAAAGCAGAGUAAUUUACUAAUCCUCUUUUACAACAAUUCAGCUGUUUUGUUCUCAUCCUUUAGGGGUGUAAGGUGGAUUAAAAAAAUCUGGAAUGUUUUACAGAUUAAUUAUUUUUCAAAUGCGGGUACUUAAGGCUAGAUAAAUUAGCCAAGAUCCCUCAGUACCUCCUAAUGUUUUUACAGCACCUUGAAACGUGCAUUUUUGGAAUUUAUGUUGCACAUGACAAACACAGGUGAAAAAUACUUGGUCUUUGAGUUGGUGAUGUCAUUUUUCCUGUGAUUCAUUAAUAUGUUAGCAGACAUAAAAUGUUCUGAAUGUGCUAGUGCUCAAGAUAUUACUAGCAUAAAGAAAAAAUAGGUCAUUGACUUUAAUAGCCUACAUAAUCAGAUCAAACUUAUUUCUUUGACUACCAUAAGUUGCCUUGGAGUGGGGGAUAGGCUUGGGUUAGCCUUCAGAUAAAUGACAUCCAAAUCCACCUCAAUGAGUUUGCCAAGUCCUUUUUUCAUGCUAAAGUUAUUAAGAAACAAAAGCAAUAAUAUUUAUGAGCAACGCUGUACUUGUGUGUAGGAGGGGAACAUCUAAGAUUAUGAUCCCUGUUCCCAAGGCUAUUUUUGUGUAUCAUGCAGUUGUUGGAUAAAAUACUAAGAUACGAAACAGAAUUCCCAUUCACUUCCAUCCCUCCCUGUACAGUACAACCAAAUGUUUUAAAAACUAAUAUGGAAACUUUUUUUUUUGUUUCCUAUUUCUCUUGCUCAGAUAGACUUGACCUUGCAUAAACAAUGUCAAAAGUUUGGCAAGAGGCAAAGGACCCUCUGCGUAGAUUGCAUUGUGUUUGUGUAUCAUCAUCAGGGAAGUGGAAUGUGAUAUUUAGCACCCUCCAAAUGAGAAGAACUGAAUGUUUUUUUCCCCAAUCAGAAUGAAUGUUUUGAGUAGUCUUCCCUUCUUCUUGUAAACAGAAAAAACACCUGUUUUCUAAAAACUGAUUAAGUGUAGCUUAAUCAGUUUUUGAGCACUUAGCUCAUACAUACUUAGCCUGGUCAAAGCCAAUGUAGCUCUGAGUGUGAAGGUUCAUGCUAGAACUUGCAGGUUUAAAGUAAAGCUCCUCAGAAUGUCAAAUUACUUCCACACCCCCCCCCCCCCCUCAAUUUUCGUCUUUGUGUGUGACUAUGUCAGCAUUUUAUUUUGGUGCAAGGGUGUCAUGAGUUAAUGAGCUUUUCUUCCUAUUGCAGUGUUGCUGUGCAGAGGACUGAAGUCAUUUAGAGAGAAACUAACCAGAACAGGAACACAUGUAAUGUGCCCCAGCUGCUAGUGGGCUUUUAGUUCAUAGGGCCGGCAUAACUGGAAGCAAACUUCUGCUAACAUACUGUGUCAUUGUGGGACUGUCAUCAGUUAUGAUUUAUUUUAUGUGACUGCAUUUAAAAAUGUAGAAUGUACUAUCUGGAUUCUGGCCACCAAUUUUGUGGUGCUUUUUCUGUGCCCUUUUCUUCUUUUCCUCAUCUGUGUUUCAGUUAAAUAUUUAGUCAAUAGAAGUGUCCAGGAUUUUAGUGUCAUAUGAACAUCAUCUGACCUCUUGGUCAUUGACUAAUUUGCUUAGAAAAAAUCAGUAAAUUCAGUAUUUUUAUGCCGGUUGUACAGAAGUCUUUAAAACUUCCUGAAGAGGGGAUAUGGAGAGGGAAGUUCCAGUCUCUUGUCCCUGGUAACUGAUGACAGGAUGCACAACGCUGCAGCAUGGGAGGUUCAGACUGGACAUUAGGAAAAAUUUAUUUACUGUCAGGGUGGUCAAGCACUGGAACAGGCUUCCUAUACAGGUGGCUGAUGCCCUAUGCCUGCCUAUGUUCAAGAGGCAUUUGGAUAAUGCCAUUGUUAUAUGCCUUAAAAGGUCAGCCCUGAAGUGCUUGGGCAGGUGGACUAGAUGAUCUUUGAAGGUCUCUUCCAAUUAAACUGUCCUAUAUAGAUGGAAAGACUGUUUUUGAGAUCUUUCAAAUGAUGAAAGAAACUGCGUUGCCUUUUUUUAGGUAAAGAUGCAUUCCUGAACACUGAGAUUGCAUUGAAUCAAAAGUAGAAUUUGUGUUUUGAAUGCGUUUUAAAGUAUACUGUGUGCAUGUCUGUGUGCAGCCCAUUUUUAUUUACAUGACAAAGGAAAAAAUUACUUAAAAGUGUAGUUAAACCAUGUGCAAAACUUAAACAAUAAACAGUUUUAUAACUUAAAACUCAUUCCUUAUUUAGAGGUAACACGUUGCUAUAAAUGUUGACAGUUAAUGGACAACUCCCUACAACUGUGAUAAAUAACAUAUACUUGGGUAUGAGUAGAUUAACCUCGUCAUCCCUUUUCUUGCCCAGUAAUGGAUUACUUGUGGUGAACACAAGAUGUGUCCAAUUUUCAAUAUUUUCUUAGUUUUUAAUACUGUACAUGUGUAACAGUAGGAAUAAUCCUGGUUUAUCAUAGUAGCAUUAAGCCAGAGUGCACUGCUAUAUUACGAAACCUAUAUAUUUUGCUUUUGAGCAGCAGAGACUGGCAGGUAAUUACAUAACUCAAUGUGUAUGCUCAAUUUGAAUUAAAAAGUGUCCAGGAGUUUAGUCACUCUCCUUUGUGAGAGAGAAGAGUCAGGCAAUAAUGGAGUAUCGCAUACUAGCUUCUCAUUUCAUCUUUCUCAAUCUGCAUUGCUUUUCAUUUAGAUCAAGAUAUUUCAUGUAUUUUGUUAUCUGUGAUCUGUAGUUUCUCAUUAGAAAAGAGAACAGCUGCCAGCCACCUAGCAGGAGUUGACUCUGCAUCUGCCCUCACUUCAAGUACACUGUUGCAGUGGGUAAAAAAUAAAACAUAUACUUAUGAAUGAUAAAUGGAAUAAAAUCCAUCUACACAACAAAUUUCAGUGGGCUAUACAGAGACAUGUACAUAUUGUAAAAUGAACUAGUAACAGAUGCUGGCUUAAUCAAUUAUCAGUAGUAAUUUAAAUAAUGAGACUUCCCUUUGUAAGCAAAUUUAUUAAAGGAAGAUGAGUGGAAUAAAUAAAUGGAGAAAGAUGAACUAUGAGAAUCUAUUGCAAGAUUGAAAGAGGAGUAUGUCACCAUUUUAGAUAACAAUAGGAUAUGAUAUACUUGCUUAUAUAAGUGCCUAACAGCAAAAAAGUCAUAGUGGGAUUUCCAAAUCAGCAUUUGGAAAUGGGUAUACAGUACAUAGUAAACGAGUGUCUUGGUCUGGGGCUCCUGUAUUAAGAUAGACAAUAAGACCUAGAACUUGGAUACGCGUGUUGUAUUUUACAUUUUGUUUCUUCUAGCGGAUUGGUUCUGCAAAUCCUUAGUUACAGUAGCAGGUCCACUGACUUAAAUAAACGUGUUCAUAAACAAGAAGAUAUUUCUAUCAGCAAAUGUCAACAUGAUUUGGCUGUCUGCAGUAUACAAAGCAUUACAUGACACGGUUCAGUUCAAGCUUCGGUAAGAAAGUGAGCACUGGAUGGUCAGCAGUGCUGUGAGUUGCUGUGAACCAACAGGCUGUGGAUAUUGCCAUCCCAUGAACAGUCUAGCAAGGCCAGAUAGAAACAAAUUAGUUGACUGGUCAUUUUUUCAUCUCUGUCACAUGAAAAAAUACAUGGAUGACUAUCAAAAUCAUCAGUGUUAUAAGUCUCAGUACUGGAAAAUGUAUCAGUGAAAUUACAAACCAUGUGGUUUUGCUGAGCUGAAUUCUGGCUAAAGAUCUGAUUGUAUCAGAGGACAGCCUUCAUAAUUCAAGCCCCACAUCUUCUGUUACUCUUGGAAAACUUUACUCAAUGUGCAUAUGAAGGAUAGUGAAUAAAGAUAAAGCAUUUUAGCAACUGAGUGAUGAGAUCACAUCGUAUGCCUUCCCAGUAAAGUCCCUUAGUGUGAAUUCCAUGAUAAUACAUGAUAUGGUAUGUUAUUUCUGUCGCACAAGUGUCAUGAAAAUAUGGUAAGACAAAUUCUUCAGUCAGUGUUACCCAAACAAUCUAGUUCAUUCUGCUUAGAGCUCAUAUGACAUCCUUAUUUUUAUAGAAAGUAUGUUAAUACACAGAAAGUAUGUUGUUAGUGAAUAAUACAACAGUGUAUAAACUACCUGAUCUGCUAUUUGAUCCUUUCCUGUACCACAAAGUACUGAUCAUUUUCAUGUAUUUCAGAAUGUGCCCAGAUCCAGAAAAUCCAGGGAAAAGGUCUUUUUUCUGCUGGACUAGUAUCAUUACGCAUAUUAAAAAAUACAGAUAGUUCAUGUUGCUUGAGUUUUAAAAGACGAGUCUUUGUUAUAUAGCAUCAUGGUGGGACAAAAUAACUUCAAAUGAAAAUGUUUCUCUGUACUGACUUUUCCACAGCAGUAUGUAGUUUCUUCAGCUUUUUGUAUAUCACCUGUUUAAGGGUCUGCAAUCUUCUUAAUUGAAACAAGUGAUUAUCCUUUCAUUGUCAAAAUGCAGGUACUAUAUUAAGCACCUCAAGACCUGAGUUGAAGUGGUAUGUAAUUUUUGGAUAAAUAUGAAAACAAUCAUAGGUUCAGCAGCCUUUGCGUUUUCAAAAUGCUGGACUGACAUUCAUGACUAUGAAUUUACAGGCAUAACUUCACAGAACCAUAGAAUUCUUUGACACAACUUUGCAAUGAGUGAUAAAAGAUGAGUGAUGGUUUCUGGGUGUGAGAAUUCAAGUGUUACCACAUUUCAAUUAUAUUUCACAACAUAGUCUCUCGUGAUCAGAUCUAUGUUCUUUUCUUCUCCCAGACAUUACCAGUUACAGUAAUUCCUUACAAACCUUUCUGGAAAAUACUAAUAACGUCCUUUUAUAUUAUCUCUAGGAUAAAGUAUAAAACGGACCUCAGUUCAGAAGUCACAUCAGUCAAAACUCUGUUUAAAACACUGUUUAUUUAUUUUUCCCUAUUAUGUUUGUCAGUGAACACAGAGUUGGAAUAAAAAUCAUUAACUAAAAAUCAGAACAACUCAUACUUUCUAGAAAUUCUAAAAAAAAAAAAAAAAAAAAA